AAACUUGCAAUUUCCAGCAGGAAGAUUAUAAUAUUUAACGUCACGCAAGUGAUGAUGAUUCUGAAUCCAUUGUGCAAUAAUCAUUUUGGACCCGGGGGCGGUACCCGGCACCUCCACCAAGAAAAAUCAUGGGGGUGUAAUAGAUUCGACAGAUGAUGAAAGACAAAUCGGGUGAAUCCGACAUGGCGUCGUUAAAAGCCAAAUAAAAACUGAAUGGCGAUAGAAUCGCUGCGAACGACAAUGUUCGCUUUGCAAUGGCUGCCUAAUACGGCGCCGAACGCCGCUGGCGAUUGUUGGUUGCGUUCAUUUUAGCUAUUGCGGGGCUGGCCGGGUGCCUGGCACCAGAAACCCGGCGCA
rnacentral:tmRNA from 1 species